rnacentral:lncRNA from 1 species
CCCAGACUGCCCAGGCCAGGAGGACAAGGCUCGGGGCAGAUCCCAAGCCUCACCUCCGCCCGCACCGCUGAGAGGACGCCAGCGCCGGGUCGGGUGGUGGAUGCGGAACCCGCCCAGGGCCUGACCCCCAUGGCCGCCCCAGCCUCGCCUGGAGCAAGCAGAACCCUGACAUGGAUGUGGACAAGAACAGGACCCUGGACCUAGACAUGAGCAAACAGUGGCUGUGAGAGGGCUGCUGCCCCAUCCUGACAUCCCUGGAGCCCAUGUCCCCCAGCAGCAGGCAGUAAUGAACAGAUGGUGUUUCCAGCUGAGAGAGGAGGACGGCUGGGACUUGCCCAUGGACUACACCAAAAUGAAGUCCUGGAGGAUAGAUGAGGAUGAGUCCAAAAGGAUUGCUGUAUAUCCUUGUCAUUGCCCCCACCUUUGUCCACACAGCAUGUGAAGUUGGCAUCACUGAGGAAAAUGCACUUGGCACACACCUCAGCAGAAUUGUCUUUUCUCUUUGAAUAUGACCUUUAGCUGAUCAGGGCUUAGAGGACUUAAGUUGACCCAGGAGAUAUUUGGAUUGAUUUGAGUGAAACAAACCAUUGACUUUUUUAAAUGAUGGAUUUCAUCUUCUAACAAGUGUGUUUUGUAACAAACUAUUUCUCUAAGAAAGUGUAUAAACAGCAUACCAGUUCAUUUUUUCUGGGUGACAGAGAUAUAAGGCAGAAUUUUCCUUUCAGAUGGAGAAUGGUAAUGAGAGUCUUAAAUAUUUAAAUGGUUAACUAUACGCUGUUAAUUACCUAGCUUUUUGAGGCUAAGGACAGGGUCUCUUCUCUAAGAAAUCUAAAAUAUUCAGAAGAGUAGACUCUAGCCUAGAAUGUCAACUUAGUACUGUCACCUAAAUCUUUGUUGACUAUAAUAUUACCAAAGCACCUAUGUCAAGAACAUAUUUCUAAAGUAGUUACAAUUUUGCAAUUCAGAUUAUUAAAAUAGUUAUCCUUUAGGCUAAGAAAGAAGUGAAAAAAAAGUUUUUUGUUAGCCUGAGUUCAAUUCUGAAAAUUAUGGCAUCCUCUAUUCCCUGGAAAAUGAACAUUCUUUUUGAACACAAUAGGGAGACCCUGAUCAAAGCAAGAGCAUCUUACAGAAACUGGCAGGCAGAGAAAAAGGAAACAUUUGCCAUUUGUAGGAACUGGCAGGGAAGUCACCUGUCUAUAAGGCUGGUGCUGCUAAAGCCUAUUAUCUUUGUUCUUCAAAUUGAUUUAAGUAUUCAGGCAUCUUACAGAAUAAAAUCUGAAUGGCCAUCUAAAA